UACAGAGGGGGCAAGCGUUGUUCGGAAUUACUGGGCGUAAAGGGCGCGUAGGCGGCCACCUAAGUCAGACGUGAAAUCCCUCGGCUUAACCGGGGAACUGCGUCUGAUACUGGAUGGCUUGAGUUCGGGAGAGGGAUGCGGAAUUCCAGGUGUAGCGGUGAAAUGCGUAGAUAUCUGGAGGAACACCGGUGGCGAAGGCGGCAUCCUGGACCGAUACUGACGCUGAGGAGCGAAAGCCAGGGGAGCAAACGGG
rnacentral:rRNA from 1 species